rnacentral:tRNA from 1 species
AUUCAUAUAGUUUAAUUUAAAACAUUUUAUUUUCAUUAAAAAAAAAGUUCCUACUUAUGAAUU